rnacentral:rRNA from 1 species
UACGGAGGGUGCAAGCGUUAAUCGGAAUUACUGGGCGUAAAGCGUGCGUAGGCGGUUUGUUUAGUCAGAUGUGAAAGCCCCGGGCUCAACCUGGGAACUGCAUUUGUGACUGCAAGGCUAGAGUGUAGCAGAGGGGGGUAGAAUUCCACGUGUAGCAGUGAAAUGCGUAGAUAUGUGGAGGAAUACCGAUGGCGAAGGCAGCCCCCUGGGCUAACACUGACGCUCAUGCACGAAAGCGUGGGGAGCAAACAGG